rnacentral:misc_RNA from 1 species
UGCAUUGAUUUUGAGAAUCUUUCUUGUUUAUGAAUCACAUUUUAAAGAAUCUUUUAAGUUUGCUCUGGGAAUAUAUCAAUGGUUGUUUCAUAAAAAUUCAAUGAGAUGAUUAUCUCGUAAAAUACUUCAGUAUUUUAGGCAGAAAUGCAAUUGUAAUUUUUGUGUAUGAUGCAGUUUGGUUUUUGCUGUCUUGCAAAUAAAAAAACAGACUCUUAAUGUCUUAAAUUCUACGUACUGACUAGUCAAAUUCAAAUGUGUCCUUUUUUCUGUAACUCUCUAAAUUUUCCACGCCAUUGUUUUGUUGAGUAUUAGGAAGACAAUUUACAUUUAGUUGAAUCUGAAAUGUUGUUAAUGACUAUUAUGGUUUUGUUUUUGGAGAUCAUCAACAAUAAAGAAGAAAAAG